UUGUUGUAUGAAAAAAGAGAAGGUUAGCAUUCCCCUUGACAGUGAUGGAAGAGGCUCUUGAGCCUAACAACACACAUACAGUUAAGGCACUACCACCUACUUAGUGACAUCUAACCAUUGUUUUUG